rnacentral:rRNA from 1 species
AGUGAACGCUGGCGGUAGGCCUAACACAUGCAAGUCGAACGGCAGCACAGUAAGAGCUUGCUCUUACGGGUGGCGAGUGGCGGACGGGUGAGGAAUACAUCGGAAUCUACUUUUUCGUGGGGGAUAACGUAGGGAAACUUACGCUAAUACCGCAUACGACCUACUGGUGAAAGCAGGGGACCUUUUGACCUUGCGCGUUUGAAUGAGCCGAUGUCGGAUUAGCUAGUUGGCGGGGUAAAGGCCCACCAAGGCGGCGAUCCGUAGCUGGUCUGAGAGGAUGAUCAGCCACACUGGAACUGAGACACGGUCCAGACUCCUACGGGAGGCAGCAGUGGGGAAUAUUGGACGAUGGGCGCAAGCCUGAUCCAGCCAUACCGCGUGGGUGAAGAAGGCCUUCGGGUUGUAAAGCCCUUUUGUUGGGAAAGAAAAGCAGCAGGUUAAUACCCCGCUGUUCUGACGGUACCCGAAGAAUAAGCACCGGCUAACUUCGUG